rnacentral:rRNA from 1 species
CCUACGGGGGGCAGCAGUGGGGAAUCUUGCGCAAUGGGCGAAAGCCUGACGCAGCAACGCCGCGUGAACGAUGAAGGCCUUCGGGUCGUAAAGUUCUGUCAGGGGGGACGAAAUUUGACGGUACCCCCAGAGGAAGCCCCGGCUAACUACGUGCCAGCAGCCGCGGUAACACGUAGGGGGCGAGCGUUGUCCGGAAUUACUGGGCGUAAAGGGCGUGUAGGCGGCCGAUCAAGUCAGGUGUGAAAAUCCAGGGCUCAACCCUGGACGUGCACUUGAAACUGGUUGGCUUGAGUGCAGGAGAGGAAAGUGGAAUUCCCAGUGUAGCGGUGAAAUGCGUAGAUAUUGGGAGGAACACCAGUGGCGAAGGCGACUUUCUGGCCUGUAACUGACGCUGAGGCGCGAAAGCUAGGGGAGCAAACAGGAUUAGAUACCCGUGUAGUC